AAUGAAAUAAUACCCAUGAACGAUCACAUUAAUCACAUAUUAUUCAGAUUUUUAAUAAUCUAUCUCUGUCGUUUGUUAUUUAUGAAAAAAAAACAGCAAAUACAAAAUAUGUGAUUGAUGUGAUCGUUCAUGGGUAUUCUUUCAUUUUUCCGAUUGUACGGACCCUGACGGUUAACAGAGGUGACGGUUAAUGGAGAGACGGAUAAUCGAGGUUCCACUGUAUUUUCAAUUUGUAUAUUUUUGUCUUGGGUUGUUUGGAACUAUUUUAUUAGAAAUCACUAAAUUUUUGAAUUUUACCUGUGACUAGGGAACAUUGUUAUAUUAAGUCUUGGUAUGAAACAAUGUUAAGACAAUACUGUGUGCUUUUUCAGUCCUAUGAAAGAAAAUGUUUUGGAUGUAACAGAGAAGUACUACAACUUUGUUAUGAAGAUUUGUCUUUAUGUUAUUUUUAUAAUGUUCAUGGAUUAUAUUUGUUUUUAUGUUUUCUUCAGUUUAAAUAAAGUUUAUGUUUUACCCA